rnacentral:rRNA from 1 species
UACGGAGGGGGCUAGCGUUGUUCGGAAUUACUGGGCGUAAAGCGUACGUAGGCGGCUUGGCAAGUUAGAGGUGAAAGCCCGGAGCUCAACUCCGGAAUAGCCUUUGAGACUGCCUCGCUUGAACGUCGGAGAGGUGAGUGGAAUUCCGAGUGUAGAGGUGAAAUUCGUAGAUAUUCGGAAGAACACCAGUGGCGAAGGCGGCGCACUGGACGACUGUUGACGCUGAGGUACGAAAGCGUGGGGAGCAAACAGG